CUCUUUCAAUUCCGUCCAAAAGCACACACGCACACAGCACCUUCAAUUGGAGGAACCCUCACCUUCGCCAAUCCUUCGCCAAUCCUUUGGCACACAAUCCUCACCUUCGCCACACAAUCCUCACCUUCGCCAUUCUCACCUUCAACACAUAUCACCUACGACACUCAUCACCUUCGCCUUCUCACCGUCGUUGUUGACCGUCGCCACCCAGUCACCACUCACCACAUGGCUGCGCCACUCACCAGUCACCAGCUCACCACUCACAAGCUCACACUCUCAUCCUCACUCACACACACACAAAAGAGGGAAAAAUCAGAAAAGGGGAGAACGGGAAGAAGAAGAGAAGAAGAGAGGAGAGGGGAAGGAAGGAGAGGAUGACACCGGCUAGGGCUCUGCCGCGCGGACCAUCGUCGUUGCGUGCACUGACCAUCGCCUCGCAUCUCCAUCUCGUGCAUUCACUGUCGCCGCUCAGCAUCAUCGUCACAUGUGCUCACUGUCGCUGCUCAGCAUCGUCGUAGUUGCUCAGCAUCGUCAUCACCGCUCACCUGAGAAGCUUCCUGGUAGCCGAGAAGCAUGUAGCGCAGAGCACUCGACUCCUCAGCUGAUGAAGAGUCCUUGAUCAAAUUCUUGAUCUCCUUCACAACAUCCAAGUAAUCUGAAUCUGAUAACCACAAUCCAUUAGUGGAAAUUCUUCAGCUUUAUCACAACAACGACACAAAUUCAUCAUUUUCUAUAUUGGGAGAGAAUCACACAGAACAGAGGAAUCGACGCAGAGCACCUGAAAAGAAAAUAGGAGAAGUGCAUGUAGAACGUGUGGUUGAGACAGCAUACUUGUGCUCUCCAUAGGAGGAAGGGUAAGAGAAGAGAGGAUCCUGAAUUGGAUUCAAAGGGGAAGAUCUGAAUAAGCAUUUGGAUUGAGAGAGAAUGGUGUAGAGAGCGAGGAAAAGAGUUGUGAAGAGGUAUAACAGAGAAAAACAGAGGAGCUUGGAUUGGAAGAUUAGAGGUUUGGUAGUGGUAAAGCCAUUUUUGAUGUGUUUUGAUGUGAGAAUGCAGACAAUAACUUGUGUCUUUGCUAGCUGCAAGCCUUCCAGGCAAUGCUACUUUCUUCUUGACCUAUGUGGCUCUCAAAUUUUUUGUUGGCUAUGGUCUUGAGC